GAUCCAAUAUUUGGGAGUAUGCUUGAGAAAACAGAGCUUCAGGAAAAGCUGAGAAUGACCUCUCUUUGGCUGACUCAUUCUGACUUUAAAGUAAUAUGUCUUUACAGAACAUGGUGAGAGUUCAAAGUCUGCUUUUGUUUUUCCCAUAUUUCUUAGUAUAGAAGGAAAGCAAGACUGUAACCCAUGAAUUUGUUUAAUUGCUCCUUUAUUUCAAUGGAAUAAGCACUAUAUCCUUUUGUCAUAAAAGAAAGCGUGAAAAUUGCAUCGUUCCUUCCUUAUGAUCAACCUUGGUGUUCCUCGAGGCCUGCAAGCUGCAGAAGUGGAGUUAAGGUUAUCAGGCAGGCUGUCUCCACUAGCGUGGUUUUCAGGAAUAGCAAGAGGAAUGCAGAAUAUUCUGUGGUGACAGGACCACAUCACAGAAAGAAGGUUUGGAUUAGAAACUUGGACAAGGUUGUUUGACUUUUCAGAGCUUAAGCUGCUCCCAGGAAAAUGGUGAUAUUGCCUGCCUUAUGCUAUCUCCAUUAAGAUUAAAAUUAUGACUGUAAAACUACUCACAUUGUACUUAGCACAUAGUGGGCACUCAGGAAAUUUUCACAGGUAUAUGGAUUUAAGUAGCAAAUCAGUCUUCUCUAUUUUCAGGCCCUUUUCAAAGUGUAAUUUCAAAGUGUAAAUUUUGUUGUGUCCAAUCUCCUCCUCUUGAUCUUACUGCUAAAUUACCUUGGGACUUAAUGAUCAGGGCUUCCUUGCUACUUUCCAGAUCCCGCAUCUGUAAACAUGCUAGACCUUCAAAAUUCUGCUUUCCAUUUUUUAUCAUGCAACUUAUGACCUUGGUCCCACAAGGCCCCAUGGUUCUAUUCACUCCCACGCUUCUCUGUUCUUGCAGCAGGAAGACCAAACAGCUCCCUGGAUCAGAGUGCCUGUUCCACAUCCACUGUACCAGUUCUCCAAACUGGCUGAAUGUGUCAACACCUGGAAUGCUAAUUGUACAUAGGCCCUGUUGGAGACAGAAAGGAUGUGAUGAGGACGCCCUUAUCCAUUAUCAAUGGAUAAUUGAUAUCCAUUGCAGCCUAAGGGAAUGCAGCCCUCUGAGAGUUCUCAGGCCCUGCCUGAUUGUCACCUGAAGAAGGUGAGUUUGGACUGGAGCAUGGGGUUUCAUAUCGCGAGUAGCAGGCUGGGGCCAAAUGUAUGUUACUGGAACAGGGAGUGAGAACACUGAGGCGAUUAGACAAAUCCCUCCCAAGUACUGUCUACCAUGGGGAACCUUUUAUAAGAAAAGGGCUUUUACCAUGGAAAUGGGUUGCUCUUAUUUGUUGCUUGCAAAAAAGACAUAAUAAGGCUUUUGUAAAAUUAAGAACUUAAACCAAUACCAUUAUAUAAGUUCAGAGCUGAUUUAAUAUAGGACUGAGAACAUUUAUCUUCACAAAGUCCCUACUGACUCUGAGUAUGACUCUCUGUAUUCACAAUCUAGAUCCUGUUCUCUCCAGUUUGACAAAUUUAUGACACAGGGAUACCAGCUG
rnacentral:lncRNA from 1 species